AAAUUUAAACCAACCUUCAUCCCAGUGUCUUCACAAAUGCUCAGCAAAGAAAAUUCCUAAGACAAUUCAGGGACCUCUCAUAACCUUACUGAGAGACGUUAAUAAAGAACCUUAGUAACUUGACUCUCAACUCUACUACCAACCCUUCCCCUCUAGCAGAAGUUUCACCCCAACAACAGGAUAGAAGAGAAACAAUCUUCCAGGACAUCAGAGAUGGCUUGCCUUACAGGAGGAAAUUAGUAAGAACAUUGCUCUCUGUGGGGAAAGAAAGGAUGGUAAAAAUCGAGAUACCUAUUAAUAGAUUUUCUCAGCUUGAAAGAGAACUGACACUAGGCUUAAGGGAGCGCAGAAUGAAUCAAGAAGUGAACCAUUCAAAUGUGGCUGCAGUUUUUGUGUGUAUCACAGAUGGGAUCCUUCUGAGAAUGCUAGAAAAGGGAAUUAUGACACAGAGCCUAUUCAGCCAUAA
rnacentral:lncRNA from 1 species